UUAUUUUGUAAGUUGUUUGCUGGUAGGCCUAUAUAUAAUUUAAAAAAAUACUAUAUUUUUCAUAGGUAAAGGAAGUUGCAUAAUAGACAAGGCCCGGCGAAAUUGGUGUCCUUUUUGUAGACUGCAAAAAUGCUUUCAAAUAAAUAUGAAUAGAAACGCUGUGCAAGAAGAGAGGGGCCCUAGAAAAAAUAAGGGUACCAGAAAGAGUGUUUACGUGCACAGCAGACGAGCACCGAUUGGAUCUGUAACAACCCAUCAACCAACCAACAGCAGUGUAACAACCAUUGAUACACAAGCUAAUAUAUCCAAUCAGAUGCAUAGAUUAAUAUGGAGCUCAUACUACAGCGCCUUUAAACCAGUGAUUCCUCGGAAUCCGUUCUUGACCUGGCACGUGACACCAAUUCCCUCGCUUCUUUUUCAGUCCGAUGGAGCCAGCGCCUCGACCUCGAUAUCGCCUACAGGAACAAUAUAUGAUACGAAGGCAAUGACUUUGUCCAUCUGUCAACAGAUAUUAGUCUCAUCAUUUAGAAGAUUACAUUACAAUCGAAUAUUUAGAUCACUAUAUCCUCAUGAUCAGAUGAUACUGGUGGAAAGAAAAUGGAGUGAACUUUUUCUUUUUUCAACAGCCUACUGGCCCAUGGAUGUUUCCCAAUUACUACAGAACAUGGGUUCAGGUAAUGAAGAUAUCACCAAUUUCAAGAAGAUAAUAGCAGCUUGCCAAUCACUACAGGUUGAUUCAAAUGAGCUGCCUUUUCUGGAAACUAUAAUAGUUUUACGUAAUGAUCAAAUUUUGAAGCUCAUAGAAAGUUCUAAAGUAGAAACGUUACAGGAUCAAGCUCAACUAGCCCUUGCACAUUACGAGAGUCACGCUCACCAUGAGAAGCCUGCGAGAUUUGGUAAAAUGUUACUGACAUUGCCUAUUUUAAAAACCCUAAAUGCUGACACAGUACAGAGAAUGUUCUUUACUGGACGAGAUGGAGUAUUUGACAUGAAAAAGUUUAUAGUAUCGUAUUACACAUGAUUUGUUAUACACGUGAUUGAAGCGUGCAAGUCAACGCGUCUGCCUGCAGCACUUGAGUUUGUCGUUAAAAUAAUCAUUCAGAUUUAUUGAUUUUUUAAUUUGCCAACAUUCGAAUGUGCCGACACUACUAACCGUCUGGCAGUCAAUUGAUUUUCAACGAUCUUUGACAAUAACUUCCCGAGAGUCCACGAAAUCUUAUUAGCACAUUAUAGGCCUCAAUUUGUGAUCCAAUCCUUUCAAAAUGUGGGUCGGAUGUUUAAGCCAUUCAAAGGAAGAAGUCUAUGGAUUUUUCGCCAUUAUGAAUCGUAGAUAUAUAUACCCCUUUGUUAUGAAAUCUACGAACGUCGGUCUAUCGUUCACAUUUCUUGUUAGUUGUCAUACGUUAGAUGCAAUAGUAAUCCAUAUACUAUAUUUUGAUUGUCUACCUGAUUGAAACGAAGAAGACUGUUCGCUUUUACAUUUUCGAUAAUAACUUCUAGAGUUAUUCCCCUUUAUUUUGAAAUCUGGUUAUCGCCUUAUCGAAUGCAGCUAUUAAUAUUUCUGAAAUUCAUCCGACAGAAAGGAAAAACCCUAUUGAUUUUCAACGAUUUUUGAUAUUAACGCCCACUGUUACCACCCUUUGCACGAAAUCAUGUUAGCAUCUUAAAGUAGCUAAGUCUCUAACUCAAUAUCAUCCAAAAUCUUCAACAUUGAAAACACGAUUUAUUUGUCAAAUUAAAUCAACAUUCAUGUUGUGAUCUUACCGGAAAAGAUGGGCUUUUGAUAUCCAAUUUUUAAGACAAAAUAAACAUUUUACCAUUGGUACACGAAUCGUGUACCAUAAUGCGCUUCAGCCCCAGUUGUAUCAAGAGACUCGAGGGACGAGGCUAGACACAUUGCACCAAAUCAAACGGCGUAUGUAGACUGGAUUAACCAGGCGCUAGAAAUUUGCACUCGCUUGAGACUGCUCGCUUAUUUCGCCGAACAUAACCGAUUUGAAAUUGGAGUAAAAACGGAAACCAUUGAAUGUAAAUCAGUUUAUAUACAUUCAUAUUACAGUAUUAUAUGCGUUGCGACCCACUUUUGUCAAUUUCUAGGUCCCAAAUGUUAGCGAUUUAGCUCAUUUUAGCUCUGUUAUGAUGAUUCGACCAUCUUAAUAGAAAGUAUCCGCCCAUCUAUCCUUCACGUUCCAUUUUUAAUAUACUAUAGGUUACAACAAUCUAUAUAAUUUCUUAAAAUUGAUAUGAUUUGUAUAUCUCUAAAAACGAAGGAACCUGUUGAUUUUCAACUUUUUUCAAUAGUCAUUCCAGAGUUAUUCGCCUUUGUUACGAAACUGUAGCUUCGACAAUUUUAUUAUGAACUGAGGUUUUUAUUUUUUGUAAUUUUUGCUUAGUUGUUUAGCUCGUAACUGCUCAUAACUUAACUGCUGGUAGCGUGUUUUUCGUUGUCUGAAAAAUAAUGUUUAUCAGUGAUAAAUGUGUGUAUUGUGUUUAUUUAGACUAUAAUUAACUAUAAUAAUAUGCCUUCUGAAUAGACCAAUGUGCGUCGGAGGUCGUACAUAACAUGGAAUGUUUGCCUUUAAAAAGGCUGACAAUUUAGAAGCCUUGUAUACUUACUCUUAAGAGCAAAAUGCCACUUAUGUUUCUGCUAUAGGAUUGUGCAGUAAUUUAAAGUACAUGUAAAAAGAUGUGUUAAUUUCCAAGAAAAUAAAAUGCAUGCUAUAUUUAU